GACGAACGCUGGCGGCGUGCCUAAUACAUGCAAGUCGAACGAGAGCAACCGGUGCUUGCCCAGGUCAAUCUAGUGGCGAACGGGUGAGUAACACGUGGGUAACCUGCCCAUCAGAGGGGGAUAACAUCCGGAAACGGAUGCUAAAACCGCAUAGGUCUUCGAACCGCAUGGUUUGAAGAGGAAAAGAGGCGCAAGCUUCUGCUGAUGGAUGGACCCGCGGUGCAUUAGCUAGUUGGUGAGGUAACGGCUCACCAAGGCCGUGAUGCAUAGCCGACCUGAGAGGGUGAUCGGCCACAUUGGGACUGAGACACGGCCCAAACUCCUACGGGAGGCAGCAGUAGGGAAUCUUCCGCAAUGGACGCAAGUCUGACGGAGCAACGCCGCGUGAGUGAAGAAGGUUUUCGGAUCGUAAAACUCUGUUGUUAGAGAAGAACAAGUGCUAGAGUAACUGUUAGCGCCUUGACGGUAUCUAACCAGAAAGCCACGGCUAACUACGUG
rnacentral:rRNA from 1 species